UACGGAGGGUGCAAGCGUUGUUCGGAAUUACUGGGCGUAAAGCGUGCGUAGGCGGUUUCUUAAGUCCGUUGUGAAAGCCCUGGGCUCAACCUGGGAACUGCGAUGGAUACUGAGGAGCUGGAGUACGGUAGAGGAAGGUGGAAUUCCCGGUGUAGCGGUGAAAUGCGUAGAGAUCGGGAGGAACAUCAGUGGCGAAGGCGGCCUUCUGGACCAGUACUGACGCUGAGGCACGAAAGCGUGGGGAGCAAACAGG
rnacentral:rRNA from 1 species